CCCUUAGAUGUCCUGGGCCGCACGCGCGCUACACUGAGUGUCUGAGAUACGAGUCUGCCUGGUCCGGCAAGGUCUAGGUAAUCGCUAAAAGACACAUCAUGCUUGGGAUAGAUUAUUGCAAAUAUUAAUCUUGAACGAGGAAUUCCUAGUAAGCGCAAGUCAACAGCUUGCGUUGAUUACGUCCCUGCCCUUUGUACACACCGCCCGUCGCUACUACUGAUUGGAUGUUUAAGCGAGGUUCUCGAACUGCUAGCGACUUAGCUUCGGUGAGGUCGCAGUGUGGGGAGUGAACCGAGCUUUGGUGUCUAGAGGAAGUAAAAGUCGUAACA
rnacentral:rRNA from 1 species